rnacentral:ncRNA from 1 species
AUAUAUGCUAUGAAAAAGGAAGAGUAGGGUGGCAAUCAUCUAUAGAGAGGUUGGAUCAUCGGCUGGAAGUCCAACUAGACAGACCUAUCUGAAAACUACCUUUGAGCAGGACUUAGUAGCCUAGGUGAAAGUGUUCGGUUGACUACCUUAUAGUCGUUUGAGUGUCCAGAGUCUAUCUGGAAACUUGGGUGGAACCGCGAUUAUUCGUCCCAAUU